CCUGAACACCAAGACCUUCAUCAGUUCUAUAGGGAAAGUCUAUGGAAGAUCAUAGAAAAAAACAUUGGGAAAGGAUCAUCCUCACUGCCUUGGUGUCCCCUCUGCAGCCCUCUGUAAAGAGCCAGGAGAGGUGGAUCAGCCAUGAAGAUCCUGUACCUGCUCUUCCCUUUGCUCCUCCUGUUGGUCCAGGAUGUUGAAGGAAUUAAAAAUGCAUGCCAGCUACUAGGGGGAUACUGCGCUUUUUGGAAGUGCAAGUCCGGUACAAGAUUUAUUGGACACUGUUCAGCAUUCACCAUUUGCUG